CUACGGGAUGCUCCAGUGAGGAAUAUUGGACAAUGGUCGAAAGACUGAUCCAGCCAUGCCGCGUGCAGGAUGACUGCCCUAUGGGUUGUAAACUGCUUUUAUACGGGAAGAAAAACACCUACGUGUAGGUGACUGACGGUACCGUAAGAAUAAGGACCGGCUAGACUCCGUGCCAGCAGCCGCGGUAAUACGGAGGGUCCAAGCGUUAUCCGGAAUCAUUGGGUUUAAAGGGUCCGUAGGCGGACUAUUAAGUCAGAGGUGAAAGUUUGCAGCUCAACUGUAAAAUUGCCUUUGAUACUGAUAGUCUUGUAUUGUAGUGAAGUGGUUAGAAUAUGUGGUGUAGCGGUGAAAUGCAUAGAUAUCACAUAGAAUACCGAUUGCGAAGGCAGAUCACUAACUAUAUAUUGACGCUGGGGGACGAAAGCGUGGGGAGCGAACGGGAUUAGAUACCCUAGUAGUC
rnacentral:rRNA from 1 species